UGUUCUCCUUGUGGCUGCAGCAGCCGCACUAAGACACUGGCCACACCUGGUUUCUCCACAGCCGCUGCAGCCACGAGGAGAAGGCCACCCUCUCGCGUUCAAACACAGGUGCACCCACCGUGGAACCACAGCCACAGUGGAGCUGUGGAAUGUGCCCGUCACCCACAGCCCGCCUCUGAGUCACUGCCGUCACCCACAGCCCUGCCCCGACCCACAGCCUGCGUCUCAGUCACUGCCCAUCACCCACAGCCCUGCAUCUCAGUCACUGCCCGUCACCCACAGCCCUGCCUCUCAGUCCCUGCCGUCACCCACAGCCCUGCCUCUCAGUCACUGCCCGUCACCCACAGCCCUGCCUCUCAGUCACUGCCCGUCACCCACAGCCCUGCCUCUCAGUCACUGCCCGUCACCCACAGCC
rnacentral:lncRNA from 10 species